ACUAUGAUCGACAGAUCCUCUACGCGUAUACGUCUGGACGAGCCAAACCGCUAGCGC
rfam:Candidatus Saccharibacteria bacterium GW2011_GWC2_48_9 TY35_C0031, whole genome shotgun sequence.